GUGGGGAUUUGGCUGGUGCCUUUCUCUGUGUGAUUCAUGAGUGGCUCUGGGAGCAUUAAUGCCAUCUAGCUGGAUGUGGGGCUCCACAUGCUGUUGUGCUGAGUGAUCACAGCAGCUGGAGGGGUUUGCUACUUGCCACGAGCAAAGCAUUGAGAGAGACAGCCCAGGCUGGAGAGUUCAGGGGGCAUAGCAGUCCCACAGUCCCAGGCUGCAACCCAAGGAUCCCAUCACCCCCCAAUCUG